GGGGUUACAGCCUUGCUGAAUUAUUCACCCUUGUCUUUUGCGUACUUCUUGUUUCCUUGGUGGGUUCGCCCACCACUAGGACAAACAUAAACCUUUUGUAAUUGCAAUCAGCGUCAGUAACAAAUUAAUAAUUACAACUUUUCAACAACGGAUCUCUUGGUUCUGGCAUCGAUGAAGAACGCAGCGAAAUGCGAUAAGUAGUGUGAAUUGCAGAAUUCAGUGAAUCAUCGAAUCUUUGAACGCACAUUGCGCCCUUUGGUAUUCCAAAGGGCAUGCCUGUUCGAGCGUCAUUUGUACCCUCAAGCUUUGCUUGGUGUUGGGCGUCUUGUCUCUAGCUUUGCUGGAGACUCGCCUUAAAGUAAUUGGCAGCCGGCCUACUGGUUUCGGAGCGCAGCACAAGUCGCACUCUCUAUCAGCAAAGGUCUAGCAUCCAUUAAGCCUUUUUUCAACUUUUGACCUCGGAUCAGGUAGGGAUACCCGCUGAACUUAAGCAUAUC
rnacentral:rRNA from 1 species